UGCACAGCCGGAGGUGGGUCGAAUCUGUUUCAAAGAAAUAACGUUGAGCGUAGGCCUCGGUAUCUUACUCGGCGAAUUCCCUUCCCAAAUUGGCGAUCGAUUCGUGAUUUUGCUACGCACUGUAUUAACUUCGCAACUUGGACCAUCGGAAGCUUGGCAGAACUAGCCCCGCUGGCAGUCUGAGAUUAUCCGCUCAUGUCAUCUCAACAGAUAAGUUAGAAUUGAUUUUGUGUAAUUUCAAUUCAGUUAAUUCUCCAAAAUAUCCGACAGAUUGCCCAAUAGAUUAGUCAUACAGAAUGUUGAGUGUGUUGAAUCUCAGGUAGAGGCCAUGGAGGCAAAACUGAAUGAUAAAGAAUACAUUGAUCAUCUUGUGUUCAAUUACACAAUAGAUAGAAGGAGCCAGGGAGAUAUUGAUCAGAAGGAUAUAAUGGAAGGCCUUGAACCUCAUUACAAUCUAAAGAGCCUUACAAUUCUGCACUAUGGAGGUGGGAAGAUCUUCCACCAUUGGAUCAUCUCCCAUUUCUGAUGGACAUAUCUACUUGGAAGCUUCCAGUAAGAAGAAUUGGUGCCAAAUUUUAUGGGGAUGCUGAUCAGGUCUUUCCUUCACUGCAAGAACUAACAUUUCAUACCUUGAAUGAAUGGGAGGAGUUGUCUGAAUCAGAUAGUAGGCCAAUUUUUCCUUGCCUUACGAAAAUGAGAAUAGAAAAUUGUCUUAAGCUAAGAAGAAUCCCUGUUCUCCCUUUGAUAUCAAUGAAACAACUUGAUAUUUGGAAUUCUGGUGAUAUUGGCAAUGUACUACCUGACUAUUUGCUAACUUUAACCUCUCUAACAUAUUUGGAGUUGAAUAGUUUUAAUUGAACCUGCACAGAUGCCAGUGCAACCAUAUGCUGAACAGGAAUUCAGAUCUCUGCGCACCGUUUCCAUCGAUGAUCAUGUUCUGAAAUAUGUUUGGGCAAUACUAGGAAGGGCCCCUUGUAUUCAGGUGCUCAGAAUCCAAGGUUGUAAUGAUCUUUCUCAGCUCAACCCUGAGCAAGAGGAGUGGCUUCAGCAACUGACUACCCUAAAUCUCCUCGAGUUCCAGAAUUGUCCUAAACUACAAAAACUUCCUUCUUCCUUAGGAGCUGCCUCCUCCAUCAAGAAUUUGAAGAUUGUCGGUUUCCCAAAUAUCGAGUCACUACCAGAUUGAUGGGUUAGAUUGGCCACUGAUUUCAAAUAUCCCCGGCAUCCGUAUUGAUGGUGAAAUAACAUCAAUAACUGAAGUUGCUUUAGAAUGGAUUCAAAUAGGGAGCAAAAUUCAAAGCACAAAGGAAGGCCUCAGUAAAAUUGGAAGUUUGCUGAAGGUAAAACUACACAGAUCAGAACCAAUCAAUCCGUGUUGAGUUUAUCUCAGAGGUGCAUUAUUUUUUGUGAUAUGACUGAAACUUCUAAGAUAUGACUGAAAGUGAACGUCGCAGAUGUUGAUUUAUUAUAUUCAAUUUGCUUGGAGAAUAUCUCACUUGUUGAUUCAUUCAAACUCAAUUU